GAUGAACGCUGACAGAAUGCUUAACACAUGCAAGUCUACUUGAUUCUACUUCGGUAGUUGAUGGUGGCGGACGGGUGAGUAACGCGUAAAGAAUCUGCCCUUUAGUUCGGGAUAACCUUUGGAAACGAAGGAUAAUACCGGAUAUUAUAGAGGCGUCGCAUGACGAUUUCAUGAAAGCUAUAUGCGCUAGAGGAGGACUUUGCGUCCCAUUAGUUAGUUGGUGAGGUAAUGGCUCACCAAGACCGCGAUGGGUAGCCGGCCUGAGAGGGUGAUCGGCCACAAGGGAACUGAGACACGGUCCUUACUCCUACGGGAGGCAGCAGUGGGAAUAUUGGACAAUGGGCCACAAGCCUGAUCCAGCAAUUCUGUGUGCACGAUGAAGGUCUUCGGAUUGUAAAGUGCUUUCAGUAGGGAAGAAAAAAAUGACGGUACCUACAGAAGAAGCGACGGCUAAAUAUGUGCCAGCAGCCGCCGUAAGAC
rnacentral:rRNA from 1 species